rnacentral:pre_miRNA from 1 species
UCCCCUCUCUGCGUGUUCACAGCGGACCUUGAUUUAAUGUCUAUAAAAUUAAGGCACGCGGUGAAUGCCAAGAGAGGAGCC